GCAUUAAGCACUCCGCCUGGGGAGUACGACCGCAAGGUUGAAACUCAAAGGAAUUGACGGGGGCCCGCACAAGCGGUGGAGCAUGUGGUUUAAUUCGAAGCAACGCGAAGAACCUUACCAGGUCUUGACAUCCUUUGACCACUCUAGAGAUAGAGCUUUCCCUUCGGGGACAAAGUGACAGGUGGUGCAUGGUUGUCGUCAGCUCGUGUCGUGAGAUGUUGGGUUAAGUCCCGCAACGAGCGCAACCCUUAUUGUUAGUUGCCAUCAUUUAGUUGGGCACUCUAGCGAGACUGCCGGUGACAAACCGGAGGAAGGUGGGGAUGACGUCAAAUCAUCAUGCCCCUUAUGACCUGGGCUACACACGUGCUACAAUGGGAAGUACAACGAGUCGCUAGACCGCGAGGUCAUGCAAAUCUCUUAAAGCUUCUCUCAGUUCGGAUUGCAGGCUGCAACUCGCCUGCAUGAAGCCGGAAUCGCUAGUAAUCGCGGAUCAGCACGCCGCGGUGAAUACGUUCCCGGGCCUUGUACACACCGCCCGUCACACCACGAGAGUUUGUAACACCCGAAGUCGGUGAGGUAACCUUUUUGGAGCCAGCCGCCUAAGGUGGGAUAGAUGAUUGGGGUGAAGUCGUAACAAGGUAGCCGUAUCGGAAGGUGCGGCUGGAUCACCUCCUUUCUAAGGAA
rnacentral:rRNA from 1 species